AACGAACGCUGGCGGCAGGCCUAACACAUGCAAGUCGAGCGAGGACUUCGGUCCUAGCGGCGGACGGGUGAGUAACGCGUGGGAACGUGCCCUUUGCUUCGGAAUAGCCCUGGGAAACUGGGAGUAAUACCGGAUGAGCCCUUUGGGGGAAAGAUUUAUCGGCGAAGGAUCGGCCCGCGUUGGAUUAGGUAGUUGGUGGGGUAAUGGCCUACCAAGCCGACGAUCCAUAGCUGGUUUGAGAGGAUGAUCAGCCACACUGGGACUGAGACACGGCCCAGACUCCUACGGGAUGCAGCAGUGGGGAAUCUUAGACAAUGGGGGAAACCCUGAUCUACCCAUGCCGCUUGAGCGAUGAAGGCCUUAGAGUUGUAAAGCUCUUUCAGCUGUGAAGAUAAUGACGGUACCAGCAGAAGAAGCCCCGGCUAACUCCGUG
rnacentral:rRNA from 1 species